rnacentral:sRNA from 1 species
AAAUUCAAUAAUUAAAAGUCAGUGGCAGCCAUUGUAAAUAAGUUCUAACUCCAUGAUUUAUUUCACAAAAUGGCUGCAAAAAUGUAUAUAUAGAUACACAAAACCACAG